CCUACGGGAGGCAGCAGUGGGGAAUAUUGCACAAUGGGGGAAACCCUGAUGCAGCGACGCCGCGUGAGUGAAGAAGUAUUUCGGUAUGUAAAGCUCUAUCAGCAGGGAAGAAAAUGACGGUACCUGAUUAAGAAGCCCCGGCUAACUACGUGCCAGCAGCCGCGGUAAUACGUAGGGGGCAAGCGUUAUCCGGAUUUACUGGGUGUAAAGGGAGCGUAGACGGUGAUGCAAGUCAGAAGUGAAAGCCCGGGGCUCAACUCCGGGACUGCUUUUGAAACUGUGUAACUUGAGUGCAGGAGAGGUAAGCGGAAUUCGUGGUGUAGCGGUGAAAUGCGUAGAUAUCAGGAAGAACACCAGUGGCGAAGGCAGCUUACUGGACUGUAACUGACGUUGAGGCUCGAAAGCGUGGGGAGCAAACAGGAUUAGAUACCCUUGUAGUC
rnacentral:rRNA from 1 species